rnacentral:lncRNA from 1 species
GGGCGCCGCUCCGCCUCUCGCCUUUGCCUGGGCGUACCGUCUGUUCGUCCUCCUGUGACCCCGGGGACUCCGCUGGGCGGCCCGUGGCUGUGUUGGCCGCUGUCCGGAUGCGACUACCCCAAGGGCACCCAAGCAGAACAAACACUACCAGGAAGCGAGGCCUGCAAUCCUUCACUUGUCAGGGUGGGAACUGAAAAAAACAUUGAACUACUGGUGGAGUUUUAUUCCAGCACCCCAACAAGAUACAGCAGGGAAGUGGAAAUUAAGAGACAAAAUUGUUCUUAUACCUUGGGAAAGGUGAGAACUGGAAAGAAGGAAGAAAGGAGCUGACUGAACUAAGCACAGCAUAGUAAUUAGCUCAAAGAAAGUAAGUCAUGAGAUGGGAUUCAGCCAGAAAAUUAAUAAGCAAAGCACGAUAUUAGGCCUCUAAAAAAUAUAUGGGUCCUUGACCUACCUCUUAGUUGUCAGUGACAUUUGUCAUAGCAAGUACAAUAUAUGUCAGAAUGUAAAAUCAUGUAUAUGCCAGUAACACUCUAUUAAAUAAAAUUUUGGGCCACCCCGUGGCAUAUGGAGCUCCCCAGCCAGGGAUCAGAUCAGAGCCACAGUCUCAACCUAAGCCACAGCUGCAGCAAUGCCGGAUCCCUAACCCACUGUGCUGGGCCAGGGAUUAAACCAAGACACUGCCAAUCCCAUUGUACCACAGCCGGAGCUCCUAAAUAAAAUAUUUUAAAUGU